rnacentral:misc_RNA from 1 species
GAUGAAGAACGUAGCGAAAUGCGAUAAGUAAUGUGAAUUGCAGAAUUCAGUGAAUCAUCGAAUCUUUGAACGCACCUUGCGCCCUUUGGCUAUUCCGAAGGGCAUGCCUGUUUGAGUAUCAUGAACACCUCAACUCUCAUGGUUUGCCAUGAUGAGCUUGGACUCUGGGGGUCUUGCUGGCCUAUGGUCAGCUCCUCUCAAAUAUAUCAGCUUGCCAGUGUUUGGUGGCAUCACAGGUGUGAUAACUAUCUAUGCUUGUGGUUUUCCAUCAGGUAACCUUCAGUGAUGGAGGUUCGCUGGAGCUCAUAAAUGUCCCUCCUCAGCGAGGACAGCUUUUUGAACGUUUGAUCUCAAAUCAGGUAGGACUACCCGCUGAACUUAAGCAUAUCAAUAAGCGGAGGA